UACGUAGGUGGCAAGCGUUGUCCGGAAUUAUUGGGCGUAAAGCGCGCGCAGGUGGUUCCUUAAGUCUGAUGUGAAAGCCCACGGCUCAACCGUGGAGGGUCAUUGGAAACUGGGGAACUUGAGUGCAGAAGAGGAAAGUGGAAUUCCAAGUGUAGCGGUGAAAUGCGUAGAGAUUUGGAGGAACACCAGUGGCGAAGGCGACUUUCUGGUUUGUAACUGACACUGAGGCGCGAAAGCGUGGGGAGCAAACAGG
rnacentral:rRNA from 1 species